UUGCAAAUCAGGAAUUAUAUUAUAAAAAAAAAUCAAUUUAAAAUGUACAUAGCUUCAAUAAUGUUUUGCCAUAGUUAUUAUAUAUUCAUACUAAUUGCAUAUGAUCUAGACGAAUGCAUGAAAGCUAAGAGUUUAAAUCUUGAUAAUUCUCUAUUGAGCUAGACAAUGCAGGCUGCUAUUGCCAGUGCUGAUUAUUGGAGCUAUUGAAACUUCUUCUUUAUUUUUCAUCUUCAUCUUUUGGCUCCGUAACUGUAAUGGAGCAAUAUGGCCAAGAAUACAUAGAACAGAGAAAUAAAGAAUAAAAAACCAUGAUCACCAUGAUCCAUUUUCAACUCUCCUGAUGCGAGAGCGGCGGUUUUGAUGAACAGAAACAUGGGGCUGAUGAGAAUUAUGAAGCAAGAAAAGCUUCUUCAAAACUUUCAUGAACACAACAAAACCUGCAGUUGAUGUUGCAGGAGGCUUCCUAGGUGAAACCAUGGCAUUACUACUAGUUUUUUUCGACGAUCUCAAAGAUUGAAGCUGAUGAACACAUCCCAUGUUAACCAUAUGAUGACGAUCAGAAUCGUCAAUUCUUGAUAAACUCCUGCUUCUUUUCAUCGACAAUUCUUCAUUGAAAUCUUCCCAUAACAUGUCCAUCUUUUCCUCUCCAUCUUCUUCGUCUUUCAACUUUGCACCUCUACCUACUCGCUCUACCCAUGAAAAACUCCAUCUUUGGGUGGGUUCGUGACUUGGAAAACAAUCUUGGUAGUCUUCUUCUUUGUCACUGUCUUCUUCUUCUUCUUUCUUCAAUUCUUCUCACCAUGGCCAAUAUUGACUUGGACGGAUUCAAGCUUGACCAGAGGCACGGCAAGGCUAGAAUCAGGGUUACCAGAGUUUGGAGAAACAACCAUGGAGGUAAUGACUUCAUGGUCGAAUGGAAUGUCAGCAUCAGCCUCCUUUCCGAUUGCCUCAACGCCUACGUCUCUGAUGACAACUCCAAUAUCGUUGCCACCGAUACCAUGAAGAAUACGGUAGUUCAAGAUUGUGAUUUUUCUCUAUUUUGAUCCAUACCCUUUUCAUGUCUUUCUAUCAUCUUGAGCAACCAUGAGUUAGUUUUUGCUCUUAGGGUUCAAUGUCUUUCCCUUUUGAGUGAUCGGAUCGAGUAAAUUUUUGCACUUUUCUUUUUAAUUUUUGAAUGCAUACUUGGGAUGUCGAGUACAAGUAGAAAUGCCUUGAAAGUAAGGUUCGUAUAAUUCCUUGUGGUCAUGAUUCCCCAAUUGAUAUAUGAUGCUACAUACUGUUGGAUUGUGAGUUGAUGCUUUGGUGAUUCCCCAUCUAAGUUUAGGAACUUCUGUUCUGAUCCUUUUAGAUGGUAAGUUUAUGCAUAAUCAUUUGCUUGUAUUAGAUAAUUAAUUCUAUUCACAGGAUCAGAUUAGGGAGAAAUUAUUGUAUGUACAAUUGAUAGAUUUUGACCAUCUAUUUUGAUGGGAUCACCUUGAUCAAUAGCUAUAAUAAAACCGUGGUACAUAUAGCACUUCAUUCCAAAAAUCAUGAGCGAGUCUCAGCUUAAAAUCUCAAGCCAGUAACAUCUGAUUGAAGUUCAAAAAUCAAAAAGUGCUUUUAUUUGUUUGAAAUGUGGUGAAGUGAAGACUGAUACGGAAAAUCUGUUUGAAAUCAUGAUUUAUAAUUUUUUUAUUUCAUAUUGGAAAUUUUUUUAAUAGAUGAAGGCAAUUCAUUGGGUCUUAUUGUUUUAAUUUCCACAAUUUGUGAUGAAUUGCAAUUUUAAUUUCAAUACAGGUAUAUGCUAUGGCAAAGGAAUGUUCAAAACGGCUUUCAGCAGAGAAUUUUGCAAUUUUGCUGGCUAAGCACUUCACUUCAUAUUACAAACAGGUAAAUGCUGCCAUCAUAAAGAUUAUAGAAAAGCCCUGGGAGCGUGUAAACAUAGACAGACAAUUGCACACGCACGGUAAGUAAUCAAAGCUCGUAAAUUGGAGAAUAAUCAUUGAACUCUUAUUGCAGAUGAUAUGAUAUCUAUGGAUUUGCAGUGACAAACCCUAGAAUAAAAAGUCACUUCUUCACACAUGCAAUAAUAUGAAAGACAAAAGAAACAUAGAUUUAUAUUAUUCAACUUUUGGCCUAUUUAACAAAAAAUCACUGUAUCAAACAUAGGUACGAUAUGAAAACUAGAAUAUUUAAAACUGAAGUUUGAGUGUAGUGUUUCUAACCUCAGACAACAUACACAAGGGAACAUCUGAUCUAUAUUGAAGUAUGCUUGUAAUAUACUUAUGUUUGUAAUAUAUAUAGUACUGAAUCUAUUUAAAUCUGGCCUUAAAAAAAGUUCACAUUAAACUUGUAUUGCCUCUGUACCCCUGGUACAUGUAAAAAAUUCUACUUGGCUUGCUUCUUCAAACUUAUCAGAUUAUUCAUGUAGUGGCCAGAUCCAUGAAAUUCAAGAAGAUUGAUGAAUUGCCACCUUGAAUUAAAUUCUCUUGAAGUGCUUCAUUGUGGCAAUUGGUAGACUACCAAUCUGAGCUAGUUGCCCUUGUGUCUUUUCUAUAUUUCUUUCUUUUUUUUUGGCAUAAAAUUGUUUUUCGUCCUAAUUUUUUAAC
rnacentral:misc_RNA from 1 species